CGGACAGAAGCCCGCUGGAUUAAGGUGUUUAGCUGUUAACUAAACGUUUACGGGAUCGAGGCCCGUCUGUCUAG
rnacentral:tRNA from 1 species